rnacentral:rRNA from 1 species
GGAUUAGAUACCCUGGUAGUCCACGCCGUAAACGAUGGAUACUAGCUGUUGGAAGCAAUUUCAGUGGCUAAGCGAAAGUGAUAAGUAUCCCACCUGGGGAGUACGUUCGCAAGAAUGAAACUCAAAGGAAUUGACGGGGGCCCGCACAAGCGGUGGAGCAUGUGGUUUAAUUCGAUGAUACGCGAGGAACCUUACCAAGGCUUAAAUGUAGAUUGACCGGUUUGGAAACAGAUCUUUCGCAAGACAAUUUACAAGGUGCUGCAUGGUUGUCGUCAGCUCGUGCC